rnacentral:rRNA from 1 species
GUCCAGACUCCUACGGGAGGCAGCAGUGGGGAAUAUUGGACAAUGGGGGAAACCCUGAUGCAGCGACGCCGCGUGGGUGAAGAAGCGCCUCGGCGCGUAAAGCCCUGUCAGCAGGGAAGAAAAUGACAGUACCUGACUAAGAAGCCCCGGCUAACUACGUGCCAGCAGCCGCGGUAAUACGUAGGGGGCAAGCGUUAUCCGGAUUUACUGGGUGUAAAGGGAGCGUAGACGGCUGCGCAAGUCAGAAGUGAAAGCCCGGGGCUCAACCGCGGGACUGCUUUUGAAACUGUGUAGCUAGAGUGCAGGAGAGGUAGGUGGAAUUCUUGGUGUAGGGGUAAAAUGCGUAGAUAUCAGGAGGAACACCGGUGGCGAAGGCGGCCUGCUGGACUGCAACUGACGUUGAGGCCCGAAAGCGUGGGGAGCAAACAGGAUUAGAUACCCCUGUA